GGCCAGACUCCUACGGGAGGCAGCAGUGGGGGAUAUUGCACAAUGGGGGAAACCCUGAUGCAGCGACGCCGCGUGAGUGAAGAAGUAUUUCGGUAUGUAAAGCUCUAUCAGCAGGGACGAAAAUGACGGUACCUGAGUAAGAAGCCCCGGCUAACUACGUGCCAGCAGCCGCGGUAAUACGUAGGGGGCAAGCGUUAUCCGGAUUUACUGGGUGUAAAGGGAGCGUAGACGGUUAUGCAAGUCUGGAGUGAAAGGCGGGGGCUCAACCCCCGGACUGCUCUGGAAACUGUUGUACUUGAGUGCAGGGGAGGUAAGUGGAAUUCCUAGUGUAGCGGUGAAAUGCGUAGAUAUUAGGAGGAACACCAGUGGCGAAGGCGGCUUACUGGACUGUAACUGACGUUGAGGCUCGAAAGCGUGGGGAGCAAACAGGAUUAGAUACCCUAGUAGGA
rnacentral:rRNA from 1 species